AUUGAACGCUGGCGGCAGGCCUAACACAUGCAAGUCGAACGGUAACAGGAAACAGCUUGCUGUUUCGCUGACGAGUGGCGGACGGGUGAGUAAUGUCUGGGAAACUGCCUGAUGGAGGGGGAUAACUACUGGAAACGGUAGCUAAUACCGCAUAACGUCGCAAGACCAAAGAGGGGGACCUUCGGGCCUCUUGCCAUCGGAUGUGCCCAGAUGGGAUUAGCUAGUAGGUGGGGUAACGGCUCACCUAGGCGACGAUCCCUAGCUGGUCUGAGAGGAUGACCAGCCACACUGGAACUGAGACACGGUCCAGACUCCUACGGGAGGCAGCAGUGGGGAAUAUUGCACAAUGGGCGCAAGCCUGAUGCAGCCAUGCCGCGUGAGUGAAGAAGUAUUCGGUAUGUAAAGCUCUAUCAGCAGGAAGAAAAUGACGUACCUGACUAAGAAGCCCGCGUAACU
rnacentral:rRNA from 1 species